rnacentral:rRNA from 1 species
CAAUAGCGUAUAUUAAAGUUGUUGCAGUUAAAAAGCUCGUAGUUGGAUUUCUGGUGGGAGCGAUCGGUCCGGCGCUUAGCGCGAGUACUUGCAUCGUCUCCGGCCAUCCUUGGGGAGAGCCUGUCUGGCAUUAAGUUGUCGGGCAGAGGAUCCUCAUCGUUUACUGUGAAAAAAUUAGAGUGUUCAAAGCAGGCUUAUGCCGUUGAAUAUAUUAGCAUGGAAUAAUAAGAUAGGACUUUGGUACUAUUUUGUUGGUUUGCGCACCAAAGUAAUGAUUAAUAGGGACAGUUGGGGGUAUUCGUAUUCCGUUGUCAGAGGUGAAAUUCUUGGAUUUACGGAAGACGAACUACUGCGAAAGCAUUUACCAAGGAUGUUUUCAUUAA